AUGACUGAGCAAGGCGAAAGGAGAAUCAAUCAACCACAAUGUGACCCUACAGGCGGAAAAAACGCCGCGCUCCCACCAGCAGGCGGUGGGGGAGGGGAAGCACGUGUAAACCCGGCCGGGUUGCAUCAUGAGCCCGCUCGGGUUUUCUAUUGCACUCUUCGUUUGUCGAUUGCAUGUAAUACCUCAGCUUCAGCCUGCACAAGCCCAGGGAGCCCGGGAGCACCGAAGGGCAGGCUCAAGGGAAGGCCCCGCCAAGUCCUUUUGGGGGGUGAUGAAUGGCAACUGAUACUUAAUAAGACACAGUAUGUUCUGCUGAUUCACAAUUAUGGAGACUGUAUCCCCAGUUUUAACAAGUGAUCGGUUGGACGAUUCCAGAGGAGCAGAUAUUAGCCAUUUGACCUACUGAAGAAAACGCUGCCC
rnacentral:lncRNA from 1 species